rnacentral:rRNA from 1 species
GAUGAACGCUGGCGGCGUGCCUAAUACAUGCAAGUCGAGCGAGUGGAUUAAGAGCUUGCUCUUAUGAAGUUAGCGGCGGACGGGUGAGUAACACGUGGGUAACCUGCCCAUAAGACUGGGAUAACUCCGGGAAUCCGGGGCUAAUACCGGAUAACAUUUUGAACCGCAUGGUUCGAAAUUGAAAGGCGGCUUCGGCUGUCACUUAUGGAUGGACCCGCGUCGCAUUAGCUAGUUGGUGAGGUAACGGCUCACCAAGGCAACGAUGCGUAGCCGACCUGGGAGGGGGAUCGGCCACACUGGGACUGAGACACGGCCCAGACUCCUACGGGAGGCAGCAGUAGGGAAUCUUCCGCAAUGGACGAAAGUCUGACGGAGCAACGCCGCGUGAGUGAUGAAGGCUUUCGGAUCGUAAAACUCUGUUGUUAGGGAAGAACAAGUGCUAGUUGAAUAAGCUGGCACCUUGACGGUACCUAACCAGAAAGCCACGGCUAACUACGUGCCAGCCGCCGCCGUAA